GCGGGUGUGGUGGAAUUGGUAGACACACCAGGUUUAGGUUCUGGGGGCUAUACGGCCUUGCGGGUUCAAGUCCUGCCAUCCGUA
rnacentral:tRNA from 1 species